GUUAUGAUGCUUUAAAAUUUUCUGACAUCUCUAAUGAACUGUUGUGAUUCCAAGUAUUUCUUUAUAAUUAACUGAUAAU
rnacentral:snoRNA from 14 species